rnacentral:tRNA from 1 species
GUCCUGAUAGCUUAUAAAGCAUUGGCCUUGUAAGCCAAAGAAUGUAGCCACCCGCUACUCAAGACU